UGGGGAAUAUUGCACAAUGGGCGAAAGCCUGAUGCAGCAACGCCGCGUGAGGGACGACGGCCUUCGGGUUGUAAACCUCUUUUAGCAAGGAAGAAGCGAAAGUGACGGUACUUGCAGAAAAAGCGCCGGCUAACUACGUGCCAGCAGCCGCGGUAAUACGUAGGGCGCAAGCGUUAUCCGGAAUUAUUGGGCGUAAAGAGCUCGUAGGCGGUUUGUCGCGUCUGCUGCGAAAACCCGAGGCUCAACCUCGGGCCUGCAGUGGGUACGGGCAGACUAGAGUGCGGUAGGGGAGAUUGGAACUCCUGGUGUAGCGGUGGAAUGCGCAGAUAUCAGGAAGAACACCGAUGGCGAAGGCAGAUCUCUGGGCCGUAACUGACGCUGAGGAGCGAAAGGGUGGGGAGCAAACAGGCUUAGAUACCCUGGUAGUCCACCCCGUAAACGUUGGGAACUAGUUGUGGGGUCCAUUCCACGGAUUCCGUGACGCAGCUAACGCAUUAAGUUCCCCGCCUGGGGAGUACGGCCGCAAGGCUAAAACUCAAAUGAAUUGACGGGGUCAUAGCUGUUUCCU
rnacentral:rRNA from 1 species